UACGUAGGGCGCGAGCGUUGUCCGGAAUUAUUGGGCGUAAAGAGCUCGUAGGCGGCCUGUCGCGUCAAUUGUGAAAGCCCGGGGCUCAACUCCGGGCCUGCAGUCGAUACGGGCAGACUAGAGUUCGGUAGGGGAGACUGGAAUUCCUGGUGUAGCGGUGAAAUGCGCAGAUAUCAGGAGGAACACCGGUGGCGAAGGCGGGUCUCUGGGCCGAAACUGACGCUGAGGAGCGAAAGCGUGGGGAGCAAACAGG
rnacentral:rRNA from 1 species